UUUCUGCACAGAGCUCACCACCCACUUUUGCUGUAUCAACGAUGACUGAUCUCACUUAAGAUUCAGCAAUGUUUCUUCCGACUACUUCUCAAGCGCAUUCUAAAUUAGAAGCGGCAGGAUCGAGGAAGAUAUCUGUCACUGCAGCCGGGACAAUUCGUUCCUGGCCACCACAGGAGUUGGUCGCGUACUUUGCCGCCCUUGCUGCAGACUAAUUUCUUUCACAGUUUCACUUAUCCGGGCACCAGGACAAGCACUUAGUUUUCUUCCGUGUUCGCGCUUCGAUCGGUCUCCAAGGCGAGCUCAUCUCCAUGCAGUGCAGCCGACUACGAAUAUCAGCCAUCGUCAGCACACUGCCUUGCGCCGCACUAAGAGGCAGGCUGAAGAAGAGAGCUCAUUAUAUCGAAAUAUUAAUUACCUACGACAAUACCAGGGGGCAGCUGCACCCAAGAUAGAUCACCAAAAGGUAAAGCUACAGUGUAGUUGUCCUGUAGGUAGCAGAGUAGCGUCGAUGCAGUGUUCUCGGAUCAUUAGUGGUGUGCUUGUUGUUAGUGUUCUUUUUUAAAAAUAACAGGACAUUUGAGUAGCUAGUCAUCGAAGUAUAUAAUAAGUGUGUUUCAACAAAUGACCAUUUCUUGUGUGAUUAUGUCAGUGAAACCUGAGUGUUAGGAUAUUUAGUUCAGAUUUUGUUUCUUUUGUUGAAUAUGGUUAGAUUGCGUAGUCAGAAAGAUAUAAACAUGGAUAAUGAACAACAGUUAGCAAGCAGUGAUACCGAGUUAGAAACUGGGGCACAAAGUAAUGUUAGUGGCGUAAUUCAGGAAGUACAAUGUGAGAAUCUGGGGGCAGAAGGGCAAGAAAUGUGGCCACUGCCAGCCAGUGAUUCAGUUGAAAGUAGAAAUACUGUACCACCCACAAGCACUAGACACGGACCAGAGAGUGGUGAGGUGUCAGAAGUGCAAUCAUUAAGAGUUAUGUUCGAGCGCAUGCUCAGUAUCCAAGCUACGUUUGUGCAUGAACAAGCAAAGCGUGACCAGAGAUUGGUAGCUGAAUUUGCACGUAUGCAAGCAGAACGUGAAAGAGAACGUGAUGCUAAACAAGCAGAGCGUGAUCGACGCCAGC